AGAGUUUGAUCCUGGCUCAGAACGAACGCUGGCAGCGUGGAUUAGGCAUGCAAGUCGAACGGGAUCCAGAGAGGUAGCAAUACUGAUCUGGUGAGAGUGGCGGAAGGGCGAGGAAGGCAUGGACAACCUGUCUUCAGGGUGGGGAUAACCCCGCGAAAGCGGGGCUAAUACCGAAUGUGGCGUAUGGGGCGCAUGCUCUAUGCGUUAAAGGUGGGGAUCGCAAGACCUGCCCCCUGAUGAGGGGUCCGUGUGCCAUCAGCUUGUUGGUGGGGUAACGGCCUACCAAGGCAUACGGCUAGCUGGUCUGAGAGGAUGAUCAGCCGCACUGGGACUGAGACACUGCCCAGACUCCUACGGGGGGCUGCAGUCGAGGAUCAUUCGCAAUGGGGGGAACCCUGACGAUGCGACGCUGCGUGGAGGAUGACGGCCUUCGGGUUGUAAACUCCUGUCAUGGGGGAAGAGCUAUGGGGGGUUAAUAGCCUCUCUGAUGGACGGUACCCCAAGAGGAAGCCACGGCUAACUCUGUGCCAGCAGCCGCGGUAAUACAGAGGUGGCGAGCGUUGUUCGGAUUUACUGGGCGUAAAGGGCGCGUAGGCGGCGCAGUGUGUCAGGUGUGAAAUUCAUGGGCUCAACCCAUGAGGUGCGCCUGAAACUGCUGUGCUUGAGUGCGGGAGGGGAGACUGGAAUACAGGGUGUAGCGGUGAAAUGCGUUGAUAUCCUGUAGAACACCGGUGGCGAAGGCGGGUCUCUGGAACGCAACUGACGCUGAGGCGCGAAAGCGGGGGGAGCAAACAGGAUUAGAUACCCUGGUAGUCCCCGCCCUAAACGUUGCACACUUGAGGUAGGGGGAUUUCACCCCCUCUGUCUCGGAGCUAACGCGUUAAGUGUGCCGCCUGGGGAGUACGGCCGCAAGGCUAAAACUCAAAGAAAUUGACGGGGACCCGCACAAGCAGAGGAGCAUGUGGCUUAAUUCGAUGCAACGCGAAGAACCUUACCCGGGUUUGACAUGUAACUGCUACUCCCAUGAAAGUGGGAUUCCUUCGAGGGUGUUACACAGGUGCUGCAUGGCUGUCGUCAGUUCGUGCCGUGAGGUGUCGGCUUAAGUGCCAUAACGAGCGCAACCCUUGCCGUUAGUUGCCAUCAGGUUAUGCUGGGAACUCUAGCGGGACUGCCACCGUAAGGUGUGAGGAAGGUGGGGAUGACGUCAAAUCAGCACGGCCCUUAUGUCCGGGGCGACACACGUGUUACAAUGGGCGGUACAGAGGGAAGCUACCCGGUGACGGGAUGCUAAUCUUUAAAACCGUUCUCAGUUCGGAUCGGAGUCUGUAACUCGACUCUGUGAAGCUGGAUUCGCUAGUAAUCGCGCAUCAGCCAUGGCGCGGUGAAUACGUUCCCGGGCCUUGCACUCACCGCCCGUCAAG
rnacentral:rRNA from 1 species